AACGAACGCUGGCGGCAUGCCUAACACAUGCAAGUCGAACGAUGCCUUCGGGCAUAGUGGCGCACGGGCGCGUAACGCGUGGGAAUCUGCCUUUCGGUUCGGAAUAACUCAGGGAAACUUGAGCUAAUACCGGAUAACGUCGCAAGACCAAAGAUUUAUCACCGAAAGAUGAGCCCGCGUAGGAUUAGCUAGUUGGUGAGGUAAAGGCUCACCAAGGCGACGAUCCUUAGCUGGUCUGAGAGGAUGAUCAGCCACACUGGGACUGAGACACGGCCCAGACUCCUACGGGAGGCAGCAGUGGGGAAUAUUGGACAAUGGGCGAAAGCCUGAUCCAGCAAUGCCGCGUGAGUGAUGAAGGCCUUAGGGUUGUAAAGCUCUUUUACCCGGGAAGAUAAUGACGGUACCGGGAAAAUAAGCCCCGGCUAACUCCGUG
rnacentral:rRNA from 1 species